rnacentral:rRNA from 1 species
GACGAAGGAUGCAAGCGUUAUCCGGAUUCAUUGGGUUUAAAGGGCGCGUAGGUGGCCUGCUAAGCCAGCGGUGAAAUCUCUGGGCUUAACCCAGAAAUUGCCAUUGAUACUGGUGGGCUUGAGUGCAGUUGCUGUUGGCGGAAUAUGACAUGUAGUGGUGAAAUACAUAGAGAUGUCAUAGAACACCGAUUGCGAAGGCAGCUAACAAAACUGUAACUGACACUGAGGCUCGAAAGUGUGGGGAUCAAACAGG